rnacentral:rRNA from 1 species
UACGUAGGGGGCAAGCGUUGUCCGGAAUCACUGGGCGUAAAGCGUACGCAGGCGGGUCGAUAAGUCCGUUGUGAAAUCCCAGGGCUCAACCCUGGAACUGCAGUGGAGACUGUCGAUCUUGAGUACGGGAGAGGGGAGCGGAAUUCCUGGUGUAGAGGUGAAAUUCGUAGAUAUCAGGAGGAACACCGGUGGCGAAAGCGGCUCCCUGGCCCGAUACUGACGCUCAUGUACGAAAGCGUGGGGAGCAAACAGG